rnacentral:rRNA from 1 species
GACGAACGCUGGCGGCGUGCUUAACACAUGCAAGUCGAACGAUGAAGCCCAGCUUGCUGGGUGGAUUAGUGGCGAACGGGUGAGUAACACGUGAGCAACGUGCCCAUAACUCUGGGAUAACCUCCGGAAACGGUGGCUAAUACUGGAUAUCUAACAUGAUCGCAUGGUCUGUGUUUGGAAAGAUUUUUUGGUUAUGGAUCGGCUCACGGCCUAUCAGCUUGUUGGUGAGGUAAUGGCUCACCAAGGCGACGACGGGUAGCCGGCCUGAGAGGGUGACCGGCCACACUGGGACUGAGACACGGCCCAG